rnacentral:rRNA from 1 species
GACGAACGCUGGCGGCGUGCCUAAUACAUGCAAGUAGGACGCAGUUGCGAACGGGUUAGUAACGCGUAGGUCACUGCCUAUUAGAGGGUGAUAACAAUUGGAAACGAUAGCUAAUACCGCAUACUAGUAGAUGGACCUGCGUUGUAUUAGCUAGUAGGGAGGGUAAUGGCCUACCUAGGCGACGAAACAUAGCCGAGCCGGGAGGGUGAACGGGCAAAAUGGGACUGGAACAAGGCCCCGACUUCCUAGGGAGGGAGGAGGAGGGGAUCUUCGGAAAAGGGGGGAAACCUGAAUGAAGAACGCCGCGUGAGUGAAGAAGGUGUUCGGAUCGUAAAGCUCUGUUGUUAAGGAAGCGGUACUUAACCAGAAAGGGACGGCUAACUACGUGCCAGCAGCCGCGGUAAUAC